UNNGNGGGGCAGGCCUAACACAUGCAAGUCGAGCGGAUGAAGGGAGCUUGCUCUCUGAUUCAGCGGCGGACGGGUGAGUAAUGCCUAGGAAUCUGCCUGGUAGUGGGGGACAACGUUUCGAAAGGAACGCUAAUACCGCAUACGUCCUACGGGAGAAAGCAGGGGACCUUCGGGCCUUGCGCUAUCAGAUGAGCCUAGGUCGGAUUAGCUAGUUGGUGAGGUAAAGGCUCACCAAGGCGACGAUCCGUAACUGGUCUGAGAGGAUGAUCAGUCACACUGGAACUGAGACACGGUCCAGACUCCUACGGGAGGCAGCAGUGGGGAAUAUUGGACAAUGGGCGAAAGCCUGAUCCAGCCAUGCCGCGUGUGUGAAGAAGGUCUUCGGAUUGUAAAGCACUUUAAGUUGGGANGAACGGCANUAAUUUUAUAACUUGCUGCUCU
rnacentral:rRNA from 1 species